UUGCUUGUUCUAGCUUGCUCUCAUCUCCGGCUAUUGAUUCAUUUCAUCGUUUCUACACCGUCAUCGACUUGUUAAGAGGUCACUAGCUUCAUCUUCUCAACAUUUAGAAGCGGCGUAUGUCAUUUCCUAGUGUUAUGUAUAUUAUUUUUUAUUUUAUGGUUUUUUUAAGAGGUUAUUAGCUUCAUCGCCAAUUCAAAAGCGACGCGUUUUUUAGAGAAAUAGUGGUAAUAUGUUUUUUAUUGUAAUUAGUUUAGAAAAAAAUAAAAACAUAUAAUACUUUAAUUUGCA
rnacentral:lncRNA from 1 species